rnacentral:lncRNA from 1 species
UUUUAUAUUUUGGAGUAAAUCCGUUUUGAACAGCAGGUCUGUUUUAGAGACCUUGCUGUGAUUACUCUUUUCUCAACUCAUAGCUUCAUUACUUCUCCUUUCUAACCUUUAGUCCUUAGGUGAGGUUUUGAAGUUUUCUCAAGCUUGGUAGCAUUAUUUCAUUGUUAGCCAUCCUUAAUACUCACUCAAGGUGAGUUCUCUCACACCGUUGUAUUGAUGAUUGUGUUUGCUAGUUAGCUCGUGUGUGAUUAUUUGAAUUUAUUAUAAAAGCAUGCUAUAUAAGUAUUGUUUUAAUUCGUACAUGUGCACUGUAUGUAACUAAUUAUGGAUAUGGGGACACCACCAAAGGAUACGGAUUUACCGGUGCGGUGGGUAGGUAAGAUCACCAACGUAAUACUCUUCGUGAGGUGCGGUGAUUAGGGCCAAAUNAUCUUCCCGGUGCGGCUCAAACCUACAAGUCCUUCUUGUAUUAUUGGGUUUGAUUCGUUCUUUCCCCUUAUUAUAAAACUAUAAUUGGAAAUGGAUUAGGGUUAGUAAAUAUGAAUGUUAGUACAANAUCAUUAUAAUUGGAAAAUGGAUUAGGGCUAGUAAAUAUGAAUUUUAGUACAAUGUUUGUGUUUGAAUUCACUAAGCUUCGUGCUUACGUUUUUCCCUUAUAACUUUUCAGGUGCUAAGAUUAAAGAGGCUAAGGCUUGACAUGGAGCAUCGGGACAUCGCUACUAGUUAUUUUGUUGGGACCUUAUUAUUAUUAUUACUUCCGCACUUAUUUUAUAUGAUUAUUAAGUUGAUGGAUUAUGUUAUGACUAUUUCAGUUGUUUUAAUUUAAUUUAAGAUGGGUUUUAAAAGUUUAAAAUUUUUGCAAAAAAAAUUGGGUGUCACAAGUUGGUAUCAGAGCCACAGUUUGAGGGAACUAGGCAUUCUUGUGGAUGUUCUAGACUCAAAUUUGAGGCUCUAUAAGAGUUUAUUUUCUUUUUAAAAUAUUUUUCAAACUUUCUGAAGACUAGUAGUGAAAGAUGUCGCGGUGUACCAGUCAGCCAGCCAAGUAAGCCUUAUUUCUUAUGUUAAAUGUUUAUGUUAAAUUGUUGACUAUGAAUUGGAUUCUACUAGCCUUAAAAUAUUAGAUUACACACUUAGUUAGUGUUAACAUGUGAGAGAGUUGUAAAAUUAACGGCUAGAGCGAACUGGAAAUUUUGAAACUAGACGCGAAUGCGAAAUUGGAACUUGUGUGGAAGGUAGUAGAAGGGCCCCUACUAUUUGAAACAUCGGUGCCGGUUUCGAGUCGGGGCAAGGUUGAAAAAUUUUCGGCAAGCUGAGUGUUUUGUCUUCCUAGAAAUAUCUAGGCUGAAUUGUUUCUAAGAUUUUCCUUCUUCUGUGGAUACCAAUGGCUCCGCCUGCUCGACUUAAUCAGCUCCAAAUGGAGCAAGUUAGGGAUAUUGUCGCUGAGGAAUUCAAUAACGGUUUCAACGAACUAAUCCCGGGUGUGACCAACGACAUAAUCAACCAAUUCGGUGCUCUUCUGGAUGAGCGCCUCGCGGCUAUUCCCGGGGAAGCGUUACUGUCUCUGCCUGUUCAGGAUUCGGCAUACUACUUCGAGAAGUUCAACAAGUGUAGCUCUCCUCUUUGGAAUGGUGAAUCCGACCCAGUUGCUACUAAGCCCUGGGUGUCAGAUGUUGAGGGCGCCUUCAUAAGUGUUGGGUGUCCGGACUAGUACAAAGCAGUGAUCGCCAUGAAUCAGCUGUGAAAAAGGGGAAAGACAUAGUGGAACACCAUCACCGCUCUAUUGAACGAAGACUAAGUGAGGGCCAUGUCUUGGGCCCAAUUUGUGGAGAGGUUCGAGGCACAAUAUGUGCCUAAGGUGGAGCAGCAGCGGAUGCAGCAAGAGUUCAUGGCCUUACAGCAGACUACCGAAUCCGUUAGUGACCUGAACGCCAAGUUCUUGGAGAUGCUAUCUUUUUGCCCCUCGUUUGCUGGGAACGAGGCCUGGUUAGUCAGCCGGUACACGGCCAUCCUACGUAUCGAGAUUCGGGAAUUCGUUAGCAUGCAGGAGUUCUCGACUUUAUCUGCGAUCAUGAAUGUAGCGAGGAGGAGGGAAAUCGAGUUGCAGACCCAGUCCAAGAGGAAGGCCAAUGACACCUCUUCCAAGACAUCCAGAGAUGCCCAGAAAAAGCAAAAGCAGGGUAGUAAGUCAAGGUAUGAGUAUAGGACGUCUUCAGGGUGAGAAAAAUCUAUUGAUAUGCUACUGCAAAAAGCCAGGGCAUCAUUGGAAGAAUUGUAGGGAUCCCCCUGCGAGUGUAGUACCUCAUAUUACUUCUGCAGUUCCCGUCUGCUGUCACUGCAAUGAGACGGGACACAAGAAGCCUGAAUGCCCGAAGUUGAAGACUAGUAAAGGAGACGGGGGUACAAAUCCUGCAAUUGCAUCUUCCUCUAAGGGAACCACUAUGGUGACACGAGGUCGUGCUCACCAGAUGACUGUGGAGGAGCCGGUGAUUACAACGACAGUGGCAGGCACUUAUUUGCUAGAUUCCGAGCCCGAUGUUGUUAUGUUUGAUAGCGGUGCUACCCAUUCUUUUGUAUCUCACACGUUUAUUAAUCGUUUGGGGCGUAGUAUCGGAAAAUUGGCUCACCCAAUGGUUGUCAAUGUUGCCGACAACCGCACUAUUUAUGUCACAAAUGUUUAUCGGGGUUACACUCUCGAUUUUUCUGGAGUUGAAUUCCCUAUUGAUCUUCUCCGUAUUGCGAUGCGAGAGCCUUGCGUUAUCGUAGGCAUGGAUUGGCUUGAUGCGUUUGAUGCGGAAAUCCAUUGUCGUAAGAAGCAAGUUCGUGUUCGAAACCCUAGAGGUGGAGGACUUAUUAUUCAGGGGGGGGCAUUCCCCACCUAGCUAUGGCUUCUUGUUCUUCUGCUAUAGCACUAGACGACGUUCCUAUCGUUUUCGACUUCAGCGAUGUCUUUCCGGAGGAACUCCCUGGCUUGCCACAUAUUCGGCAAGUGGAAUUUCGCAUUGAUUUGGUGCCAAGUGCGACUCCGGUAGCGAAAUCUCCUUACCGCUUGGCACCACCUGAAAUGAAAGAGCUCCAAGAUCAAAUUCAAGAACUAAGUGAUAAAGGGUUUAUACGGCUAAACUGCUCGCCUUGGGGUGCUCCUAUUCUCUUUGUGAAGAAGAAAAAUGGAUCCCAGCGAAUGUGUAUUGAUUAUAGGGAGCUAAACAAGCGCACGAUAAAGAAUAGGUACCCGUUGCCACGUAUUGACGAUCUUUUCGAUCAACUUCAGGGAGCAUCUUGGUUUUCCAAGAUUGAUUUACGUUCCAGUUACCAUCAGAUGCGGGUUCGUGAAGAAGACAUUGAGAAAACAGCAUUCCGUACUCACCCUCUGACAUUGAGAAAACGGUAUUAAGGUCGAUCAAGCCAAGGUUAAUGCGGUUAAACAAUGGAAGAUUCCAAAAACACCUUNGACAUUGAGAAAACAUCAUUCCGUACUCACCCUCUGACAUUGAGAAAACGGUAUUAAAGACGAUCAAGCCAAGGUUAAUGCGGUUAAUCAAUGGAAGAUUCCAAAAACACCUUUUGAAAUUCGCAGUUUCUUGGGUUUAGCCAGUUAUUACCGAAGGUUCAUUGAAAAUUUCUCUAAAAUCGCCAUACCACUCACCCGAUUGACCAAGAAAUCAAUGAAUUUCGUUUGGGGCCCGGAGCAGCAGCUGGCGUUUGAUGAGCUAAGGAAACGAUUGUGUGAUGCUCCGAUUUUGGCCUUACCUGAUGGGGUUGAGGAUAUGGUGGUUUACUGUGAUGCAUCGCUUCAAGGUCUUGGUGCCGUGUUAAUGCAACGAGAUAGGGUGAUAGCCUAUGCCUCCCGACAGCUGAAACCCCACGAACGAAACUACCCCACUCAUGAUUUGGAGCUUGGGGCUGUUGUUUUCGCUCUUAAAAUUUGGAGACACUAUCUCUAUGGAGUGAAGUAUAUCAUAUACACUGACCAUAAGAGUCUGAAAUAUUUGUUCAAGCAACGGGAUUUGAAAAUGAGGCAUAUCCGAUGGUUGGAUGUUGUAAAAGAUUAUGAUUGUGAAAUUCACUACCACCCCGGUAAAGCUAAUGUGGUAGCUGAUGCUCUCAGUCGUAAACAAUCUGCCGAACCGAUUCGAGCUAAGUGUCUCCGGAUCACGAUGGUUUCGUCUUUGUUAGAUCUAAUCUGGGACGCCCAAAAGACAGCAAUACUGGAGGAAAACAUUAGGCGUGAGAAGAUUGGGAAAGAGUUGCCUAAGAUGGAACGAGACGGGCGGGGUUUGCUGACUCGCUACGGUAGGGUUUGGGUUCCAUAUACCGGGGGAAAUCGGAAAACCCUAAUGGAUGAGUCUCAUAAGUCAAAAUUUUCUAUCCAUCCUGGUGCUACUAAAAUGUAUCGGGACCUUCAUGAGGCUUACUGGUGGCAUGGAAUGAAGAAUGAUGUGGCUCGAUUUGUGGAAGAAUGUAUGACCUGUCGGAAGGUCAAGGCGGAACACCAGAAACCGCAUGGGAAGUUGCAACCAUUGGAGAUUCCUGAAUGGAAAUGGGAGCAUCUAACCAUGGACUUCAUUACAAAACUUCCUAGAACUGCCCGAGGAUCAGAUACGAUAUGGGUGAUUGUUGAUCGUUUGACUAAGAGUGCUCACUUUCUGGCUAUAAAGGAGAGCUCAUCGGCGGAGAAAUUAGCCGAGAUCUUUGUUCGGGAGAUUGUCUCAUUACAUGGGGUGCCCGUUUCUAUCGUCUCCGAUCGAGACACCCGAUUUACCUCUCGGUUCUGGAGGAAGUUUCAAGAGGAAUUGGGCACACGAUUACAUUUUAGUACCGCCUUCCAUCCGCAGACAGACGGGCAGAGUGAGCGGACGAUUCAUACCUUGGAGGACAUGUUUAGGGCAUGUGCGAUUGAUUUUUGGGGUAGUUGGGAUGACCAUCUACAUCUAGCUAAGUUUUCUUAUAACAAUAGCUAUCACUCGAGCAUUAAAAUGCCUCCAUAUGAAGCCUUUUAUAGGAGGAAGUGCAGGACGCCCGUUUGUUGGGGCGAGGUUGGGUAGAGGGUACUUGGGAGUACCGAUAUCGUGCUACGGACUACGGAGAAAAUCCAAGUGAUUCGGGAUCAUUUGAUCACAGCGAGCAGUCGUCAUAAAGUUAUGCCGACAAAAGAUGCUCCAAUCUUGAGUUCCAGGUGGGAGAUUAUGUGUUGCUUAAAGUCUCCCCCUGGAAACGUGUGAUUCGAUUUCGGAAGCGGGGAAAGCUCGGACUCCGAUUCAUUGGACCCUACAAGGUCAUAGCCCGUGUGGGGAAGGUGGCUUACCGUUUAGAGCUUCCUGACGAGCUUAGUCUAAUUCAUAAUAUGUUCCAUGUGUCUCAGUUACGAAAAUGUGUUGUUGAUGAGACCGCUGUGAUACCACAGGAGGACAUACAGAUUGACGAGCGUCUCAAUUAUGUUGAGAAACCAAUCGCAAUUUUAGAACGAAAGAUGAAAGCUCUCCGCAACAAGACUAUAAACCUGGUUAAGGUGCAGUGGAAACAUAGGAAGGGUUUAGAAUGGACUUGGCAACCAGAAUGCGAGAUGCGGGCUCAUUAUCCGGAUCUGUUUCUAGGUAUUGACUUCGAGGACGAAGUCCGUUCUUAGUAGGGGAGAGUUGUAACGCCCCGGUUUUUCUCGGUACAUUUGGUUAUUUUAAUUUAAUUAUCCUUGUAACCUUGGGUUAAUUUAUUUAACCAAUGUCUGAUUUCUUAUGUUAUUGGACUCUUUUGAUCAUCUUGUAAACUCCUUUUAUUGAAGUCCAUGGGCUAUGGGCCUAUUUGCAAAGUCCAUCUAGUUAAUAGUACUUAAUGUGUAAAUUGAAUCAUUUGGAACACACACAAGGAAAACACUCUAAACCCUCCCUCUCUCUCAAAAAUCGUCCCUCUCUCUCUCUCUGUGGGAUCAAGAGCAGCCAAGGGGCUGUUUGGAGCUUAAUUCUUGUUCAUUUCCAGCCUUGAUUCGUAUUGGUAUGAACCUCCUUAUCCUUUCUUACAACUUGAUUCAUAACCUUGUUCUAGUUUUAUGAUUUCAUCUUCACCUCUUCUCCUUCUUAUUUUAUUUGUAAUUGUAUGUUAUACAUCAUCUCAAGAUCCUAUCUUCACCCCAUAUAUGGUGGAUGAUGGAUCUAGGGGAUUACAUGUGGCAAAAGAUCAUGGAAACCCUAAAAGGGAGAAUGAUGAUUUUAUGUGCUUAUGUUUAUUUUCAUGUUGAUUAUUAUUACAUGCUUGUGGGUAAAUGAAAUCCUAAUGAUCCCUAACCCUUUUUAGUACCACCAUUAUCAUGGGGACUGAGUUGGGAUGAUGAACACAUCUUAAAAUGUGUUUCAAAAGGAGAAGGAUGGAUAAGCCAAAAAGGAAUCACGGGUGACUACGAUUCUGUUUUCCAUCAGAUCUGUAUUCAUUUUGUAAAAAUCAUAUCUGCAGCUCUAGAACUCGAACUGACCCCAAACCAGUUCCAAAAGUUCGCAAAUUGAGUUGGCUAACUUUCUUAAGCAGUCAAACUUCACUGAUAAGGGCUUUAUCUAUGUGAAAUAAUGGCAUCUUUGCUGUUAGCUCUGAUCCGGGUCUGUUCUGAUAUGUCAUUUUGUUUUCAUCAUUUCUAAGGCGUGGAAAAAGAUCCAGAGUGAUUCCCAGUUUGUAUAUGUUCCUUAUAUUAUGAAUUUAAGAUCUGUAGAAUAUAGGGUGUUAUUUCCAAUUAUAAAUUGGUUAGAAUGGAUCCACACUUCAGGUUAGUGGGCAGUCACCAGCUUUUGCUAGUGCUGUGAUUGUCCACAAUGUGAAUUUUAUAUCUGGAGUUUGAUAGAUUCUUUUCAUUCAAUUCUAACUCUGAGACUUUCAAUCGUAUAUCCUUUACUGCUCUUAAUUUUAUUUUGGAUGAAUUCUACUCACAAGUUGGGUAGAAUUGGCCAACAUCACUUGACUGUAUUGUUGGAGACAGAAGUGAUACACCAUUUUGUAAAAUUCAUAUUUAAUUCAUCUUUUGGAGUUAGAACGAGUUCUUUAUAGUUGUGGAAUACUGAGAAAUCAUAUUUUCGUAUAAAAUUUAGUUAAAGCUAUGUUUUUGUUUUAGAUUUUGGAGUAAAUCCGUUUUGAACAGCAGGUCUGUUUUAGAGACCUUGCUGUGAUUACUCUUUUCUCAACUCAUAGCUUCAUUACUUCUCCUUUCUAACCUUUAGUCCUUCUUAGGCGAGGUUUUGAAGUUUGCUCAAGCUUGGUAGCAUUAUUUGAUUGUUAGCCAUCCUUAAUACUCACUCAAGGUGAGUUCUCUCACACCGUUGUAUUGAUGAUUGUGUUUGCUAGUUAGCUCGUGUGUGAUUAUUUGAAUUUAUUAUAAAAGCAUGCUAUAUAAGUAUUGUUUUAAUUCGUACAUGUGCACUGUAUGUAACUAAUUAUGGAUAUGGGGACACCACCAAAGGAUACGGAUUUAC